GGCCAGACUCCUACGGGAGGCAGCAGUGGGGAAUAUUGCACAAUGGGGGAAACCCUGAUGCAGCAACGCCGCGUGGGUGAAGGAGCGUUUCGGCGCGUAAAGCCCUGUCAGCGGGGAAGAAGCAAGACGGUACCUGACUAAGAAGCCCCGGCUAACUACGUGCCAGCAGCCGCGGUAAUACGUAGGGGGCAAGCGUUAUCCGGAUUUACUGGGUGUAAAGGGAGCGUAGACGGCGAAGAAAGUCUGAAGUGAAAGCCCGCGGCUUAACCGCGGAACUGCUUUGGAAACUUUUUUGCUGGAGUACCGGAGAGGUAAGCGGAAUUCCUAGUGUAGCGGUGAAAUGCGUAGAUAUUAGGAGGAACACCAGUGGCGAAGGCGGCUUACUGGACGGUAACUGACGUUGAGGCCCGAAAGCGUGGGGAGCAAACAGGAUUAGAUACCCGAGUA
rnacentral:rRNA from 1 species